rnacentral:rRNA from 1 species
AGCAGCCGCGGUAAUUCCAGCUCCAAUAGCGUAUAUUAAAGUUGCUGCAGUUAAAAAGCUCGUAGUUGAAUUUCGGGACCAUCAUGUCGGUCGUGCCUCAGUACGUACUGGCAUUGUUGGUUUCUACCUUCUGACGAACCAUGAUGUCAUUUAUUUGGUGUCAUGGGGGAUCAGGACUGUUACUUUGAAAAAUUAGAGUGUUUAAAGCAGGCUUUAGCUUGAAUACAUUAGCAUGGAAUAAUGAAAUAGGACGUUCGAACCUAUUUUGUUGGUUUCUAGGAUCAACGUAAUGAUUAAUAGGGAUAGUUGGGGCAUUAGUAUUCAAUUGUCAGAGGUGAAAUUCUUGG